UACGUCAUAUUCUGUGUGUUCAUGUGUGA
rnacentral:piRNA from 1 species